GCAAGGGACCAAGGCUGGACAAG
rnacentral:piRNA from 1 species